UGGUGGAGUGAUUUGUCUGGUUAAUUCCGAUAACGAACGAGACCUCAUCAUACUAGUUAGAUCUGUAGAAUCAAGUAUUCUACUAGACUUCUUAGAGGAACUGUUGUUGGCACAAAACAACGGAAGUUUGAGGCAAUAACA
rnacentral:rRNA from 1 species